AUGCGAAGCUACGAAGCGGUUGUGUAUUCUCAAAAAAGAAAAAGGAAGCGGUUGUGUUAUCGCUCAAAAAAAGGAAGAAGAGCGAGAGAGAGAGAAGGGAAAGCAGUUGAGAGAGCAGCAGCCAUGGAGAUGAUGGAGGCGCGCGGCGACCUGCGAUCGAUCCCGGUGGUGCCGCGCGGCGGGGCGCUCUUCUGGCCGGCGGCAGCGCAGGAGCAGAUGAGGGCGCUGUCCCCCGGCCCCGACGUCAGCCGGGUCGCGUCCGGCGCGCUCCACGACCUCCGGCAGGCCCUCGCCCUCCCGGCGCUCCCCGCGCGCGCCGCCGAGGGAUUCGCGCUCACGAUCCUGCCUUAG
rnacentral:rRNA from 1 species